GUAAGCCUGUUGUUGUCUUUGCAUCUGAUGCUGGAGUUUGGAAUCUGCAGGGCAAGCAGUCCCGAAGGGCAGAUGGAUGUGAAGCGGGGGAGAGCAAGAACAAGCUGGAAUCCAUGAGCAUGAACUAGAACCCACAAGGACACAGACUCUAACCCAUGUCGGUUCUCACUGCCUCUGACCUUGAUAAUGUGGGUGUCCUCAGGAAGAAGCUGGUGCCCUUCAUCACAGGACCAACACAUGCCUGGCCCAGGAGUCAAAGAAGCUGAAGAGGGAUGCAUGGGAAAGUGGCUCCAUACCAGUGAGGUAGACCAGAGACAACAUGUGUGAGCCACAAAAGUGCUUGACCUGACCUACAGAACGAAAACGAAAAUGGAUGCCACUUCACUUCCGCGUUUCAAAUCUCUCACAAAAAUCUCACUGUGGCUCCGGAAAGAUACCUGGGAGAGGAUUCUGGGAAAUGUAGUUCAGCCUAGCUAAGUUGACACUUUACGAAGCCAUCACACACGAUGAAGGCUCGUUAAAACCCAUGACUUCAAAGCCGGAGCAGUUAACUGCUCUGCCAGUUCCCCACCAAUAGUGAGCCGACCCUAGAUGGCAGGGCUGGGUCAGCUUCGGGGUGAAAUUCAAAUAGAAACUGGAAUUUGUUUUCUUGCCUUUGUCCUCCCUGUCUUGUUCAAAGACUAAACACUUGCAUAGCACAAGCAGGAAGAGACUUUAGCUCGUCAAAUUACUAAUUCUUUCCCUCCUGUAUCGUCCCCCACAGGGUCCCGAAGUCAGCAAAACCCAUUAUCUACUUAAUCUGAUUUUAUGCCACGCCGCAAUUUAUUUUUGAAAUUUUUUCCUUGUUGGAUAAUGGCAACUCUGAAAAAGCUGUAUUGAUUUCCUUAUGGCAGGUUUAUCGGGGCUGAGUCAGCCCAGCCCUCCGCCAACUGGAGUCUCCAUUCAGAUCUUUAUCUCGUCAAUUCCUAGCUUGAAAGACUAAGUUUGGUUAAGGCCAUAGGGAUGGGUCCUGAGGGUUGCAUUCAUACUCAUAAUGAAACUAAGUUAGAAAGUGCUUUAGGUUUUAACAACCACUGCAUUCACCGCGCUGAAUUAUACACAGAGGAGAGAGUACAAAAAGAGAGGUGAUGUUGGUACUUGCAUAUGCUUGUAGUCUAACUGCAGCCAUAUAACUUGCAGCAGGUAAAGCAGAGUGAAAACUAACUUUGCCCUGAUGCUGACAUUGUGCGCCUCUACUAAAGUGCUCAGCAUCUCCAGGUCUGUUCCUUAUCCCCAAAUGGAGGAAAAGUCCUCUACCUUCCUUAUAACAUCACAGACAUCAACAAAAUGGAUAUUCCUCAGUAGAAAAAUACUUGAGAAUCAAUGAUUAUUAUCCACAUGGCCCCCGACAAGACUCAGCCUUCAGACACUGAAGGGGAUCUUAAAAUCUUGCUUCCUCCAAGAACCUUUCAUCAUUUUUCGUUGCUUUAUUCAUUCAGAAAACAUUCAUUGAGCAGAGACUAGAGAUAUGAAUUGUUUUCCACCCACACUUAUACUCUCUUCUUAAACAACCUGCCCACACCUCCUGUGCCAGGGAAUUUUUUUGCUCCAUCUCACAUCCUCUUGGCCCCUCUUUGGCUCUAGCUAUUGCUGCAGAAAAUCACCUGCCCACAGGUGUAUUCUGAUAGCUCCCUGCUUCAGCUGCACCACGUUCCUUCUGCUGUCUGAGCCAUUCUGGUGAACGUACAAAACUGGAAAAGAGAUGGAGUCAACACCCCUUUGGGCCACCCUUGAGCAGUGGAGGACAGGAGCUGAUGGAUAAAUUCUUCCCUCUCCUGCUCUCAGGAAAGCGUUUCUGAGUUGCGUUCUACACAAUUCUCAGAAGAUGUGUAUUAAGCCUCAGUUGCCCACAUCAGUCAUUAGCUCAAUAACACACCUGUAGACUGGCUUUCCCUCCUCCCUAUUCCACUCUUCCAAAUCCCCCUUCUCCUGUUCCCUGGCAUCUCUUCCCAACCAAACUACUUUCAUGCAUGCCCUUCCCUCAAGGUGAGCUUUCAGGGGAGAAUCUGAGCUAAGACCUUCAUAUUGCAAAGAGAUACUCCAGUCUCUUGAGCAGCAGGCCACGUGAUCCCAUUCCCCCGCCUCUGGCUCCAGUUGAUUGGCCCAGGAGUGAAUGCCUGACAGGAGUUAAAGCCAAUCGAAUUUUCUCUUCCCUGGGAAUUCAGAAUCCAGAUGAUAUUCAAUCUCUGUGCGGCGUUUGAAGUGGAAAGCAUUGUAAAACCUGGGCUGGGGACAUCCAUGCACCCAUGGAGCAG
rnacentral:lncRNA from 1 species